UGGACUAUAACACCAGAACUCCAAAGAAACUUAGAAGCAACAGAAAUGUGGUUUCUUAGAAGAAUUUUGAAAAUAUCAUAUAGAGAUAAGUAACUAAUGAGACAGUACUCCAACGUGGCCACACAAAAAGAUCUUUAAUGAAACAUUAAAUGAGAGGAAACUUAAAUUCCAGGGCCAUGUCAUCAGAAAGGGAGAAAUAGAAAGCCUUACAUUACAAGGCUGUAUGCCUGGGACAUGCGGAAGAGGAAGGCAAAGAGGAAAAUAUAUGGACACUGUGAAAGAAGUAACAGAUCUAAGUGUGCGAGAUAUCAUUGGCGCUGCGAGGGAUCGUUCGAUGUGGAGAGCCAUGAUCGCCCAAGUGUGUAACGCGCAAGGCACAUGAAGGAGAAUGUAUUGAUUUAUUUAUUGCAAUAUAGUGUGGAAUAGGCCCUUCUGGAGGAGACGGUGGAGAGACGGGGAGCCGGAGGGGAGACGGGGAGGACGGAGGAGAGACGGGGAGUCAGAGGAGAGACGAGGAGGACGGCGGAUGUGCGGAAAGACUCCGGUCGAUCACUCUGGGUGGUCCCGAGCCAUGAGUCGACAGGAUUCAGGUGGUCGUCCGGAAUCAAUUGAGCUCCAACGGUUGUGUGCGAAGAACUUGGACUUUGAUUGGAUGCUCAUUGGAUGACAUCACUCUUGAUGGAAGAUAGAGAUUUCCCAUUUGAUCUUUGGAAGGAAAGUUGCAAUCCAUGCCCCAGGAGCUUAUUGGACCUUUAUAUGGUCCUACCACUGCUAGAGCCCGUAAUCUACAGUUUGGCGAUCAGGCGAUCUGGCACUUUGCUGUCUCUGAGAUGGUUCCACAAGGCUGCAACCAAAGGACGCAGGCUGGAGAUGUGGUGCGAGUCCAUGAUCAACUCUAUCUCUCGCCAGUCUCACUGAUUAAAUCAUUGAGGAAGAUUGAAAUCAUGGUGGCGAGUGAGUGUUCAGCACCAUCUAUCAGCCUCUCACUCGCUGCCGCUGCAGAAGGUGCCUCAGUGUGAUGGUCUCUCGAUUGCUGCUCCCGAGGGAAGGUCCUUGCAUUUGAGUGAUCUCUCUCCUGCUCAAAGAUGUCGGUGCGUUGGGCCGGAGCAAAAUUUAAUUGAUGCAGAUUGUACAUUGGACUCUAAUCCGGGUUUUAUGAUGUGUUCCAUUUCUAGAUCUAGUUCUCAUCACUUUUUUUCCCCACUACUACUUUUGGGCCACUUGUCGAUAGUGAACACUGAGCUGAAACUGUACUGAAAUAUGCCUUUUGUGUUUUAUAUUCUGUGUCUCUGAUCUGUUUUUUUGGUUCCCAUUUGCACAUGAGCAGUGAGCCGUUCAAUGUUUGAUGUUUUUCUUUGAAUGGGUUGGUUCAAUGAUUUUCUUUGUUUCAUGACUGAUUGCAAAAAUGAAUUUCAGAGUUAAAUACUGCAUGCAUACUUUGAUAAUAAAUGCACUUUGAACUUUUGAACUUGUUGAACUUUAUAUGGACUGAAAGAUCAGUCCAGAAUGAUGUUAGUCAUAUCUUUCCAACCAAGCCAAAAUCAAGUUAAUUCCAACUCCUAUUCCUUGGUCAGUUGACCUGAAGGUCAUGGCUGAAGGUUGUUCUUAGUAACAGAUUUUUUUUGAUGUGGAGAAGGGUUCUGCCUCAAAUCAUCCUUUAGGCAGUAAGAUUCAAACCUCCACCACUUGUUCAGGUUGAUAAUUUUAUCGCAAUUUUCCAAUAAUUAACUUUAUCCUUAUGCCCCUAUAUACUAACCUCUGCUAAGAGAAAUGGAUCCUUUCUGUUUAUCCUGUUUCACCAGAAAACUGCUCUUAUUAAUGUGUUACUGCAAGCUGCUGGCAGUCUCACAUACCAGACAUCAGCCGCUUUCUGCUUCGACUACAAAAGCUGUCAUGUCUGAGUUAAGAAGCAAGUAGGGACAGACACCAGCCAGCCUGUGUUCUGAGUCACCGGUCCUGCUGCCCUACAGCCCAACCCUGUUCCUGGUUCUGAGCUACCAGUGCUGUCUGCAUGGAUUUUGCAUGUUUGUCCUGUCACUGAGUUGUCAUUUUUCUCCCUCAGGCCAAUUAGCUGGUGCAAAUUAGCCCCCACUCAAAGUAUGUGGGGAGAGUGGAAUCUCCACAGUUAAAGGGUAUCUGAUGGGGGACUUGUCUUUGAAAGUAAAUAGGCAGGUGAUACUUACAAAAUUGCUUUGAGAGCAGACAGAGCUUUGACAGGCAGAGUGGCCUCCUCUAGAUGCAAGGCCUGAAAGAAAGCAUUAUAGUGUCCAUAUUUACUGCCCAACAUGUCACCUGGACAUACCUGACAGGACAAUGCAGCCACCUCAGAGGGCCCAGAGACUACAUGAGUCAGCUUGAACGUGCUAUGCAGCCAAAGUUCAAAGUAAAUUUAUUAUCAAAGUACGUAUAUGUCGUCUUAUACAACACUGACAUUGUUUUUCUUGUGGGCAUUCACCGUAGAUAGAAGAAACACAACAGAACAGACAAAAAAGCAAGUGCAAAAAAACAAUAAUAAUAAUAAUAACAAAUAAAUAAGUAAUAAAUUUCAAGAACAUGAGAUGAAGAGUCCUUGAAAGGGUAGUCUAUAGCUUGUGGGAAAAUUUUAAUGAUGGGGUGAGUGAAAUUGAGUGAAGUUAUCCCCUUUUGGUUCAAGAGCCUGAUAGUUGAGAUGUAAUAACUGUUCCUGAACCAGACAGUUUAAGUCCUGAGGCUCCUGUACCUUCUUCUUGAUGGCAGUACUGAGAAGAGAGCAAGGCCUGGAUGGUGGGGGUUUUUGGUGAUGGAUGCUGCUUUCCUGUGACAGUGCUCUGUUUAGAUGUGUUUAGUGGUAUGGGGGGCUUUAUCUGUGAUGGACUGGGUCAUGUCUGCUAUUUUUUGUAGGAUUUUCUGUGCAUUGGUGUUUCCAUACCUGGCCAUGAUGCAACCAGUCAAUAUACUCUCCACCACUAUCAAAGUUUUCGAUGUCAUGGCAGAUCUCCGCAAGCUUCUAAGGAAGAGGAGGUGCUGUUGUAUUUUCCUUCAUAAUCACACUGACAUGCCAGACCCAGGAUAGAUAACAAUGAGGAAUUUAAAGAUGAUGACCCUGUCCACCUUCGGUCCUCCAAUGAGGACUGGAUCAUGGACCUCUGGUUUCCUCCUCCUGAAGCCAAUAAUCAUCUCCUUGGUCUUACUGGUUGUUGUUAUGGCACUAGUCAGCCAGGUUUUCAAUUUUCCUCCUAUAAGCUGAUUCAUCACCACUUUUGAUUGGGCCCACAAUAGUGGUGUCAUCAGCAAAGCUGAACAUGACGUUAGAGUUAUGCUUAGCCACACCAGUGACAGAAUAUUGAACCGGAAUCACAGGGAGAUGUCGUGAAAUUUGUUGUUUUCUGAUGGCAGUACAUUGCAAUAUAUAAUAAAAACUAUAAAUUAAAAUAAGAAAUUUAUUUUAAAAAUAAAUUAAAUAAGUAGUGCCAAAAGGGAGCAAAAAGAAAGAGGAUAUUGAGGUAACACACACAAAAAUUGCUGGUGAACGCAGCAGGUCAGGCAGCAUCUCUAGGAAGAGGUACAGUCGACGUUUCGGGCCGAGACCCUUCGUUAGGACUAACUGAUUUAGUGUACAUCAGGUAGUGUACAUAGGUUCAAUGUCCAAUCAGAAAUCUGAUGGUUGUGGGAAGGGGCUGUUCCUGAAAUGUUGAGAGUGUGUCUUCAGGCUCCUCAGGUAGAUGAAGGAUGUAAGUUAUAAAGUCAAUUCAAUUCAGUUCAAUGCCUGUACCUCCUCUUUGUUGGUAGGAAUUAGAAAAGGCCAAGUUCUAGGUAAUGGGGGUCCUUAAUGAGGGAGGCUACCUUUUUGAGCAAGGGAAAUUUAUUAGACGGAUGAUGGCAGGUUUCCCAAGAACAUUCUCAAUGCUGAACUGACUACUGGAUCACAUUUUGCUGAAAACCCAUAUCUCAAUUAAAAGGAUAACUGGAAUCCAGAUAUGACACCAACAUAUUGAAUGGGGAGAUCGCUGUUGAAAAUUAGAACCUGGAGCUUGGCUAUUCGAGACUAGGUAACCUAUUGAUGCCACAAGAUGGUGGUGCGCCUCUCCGGCUCCAAUCAACAGUGAAAAUCCUUGUCCGGUUCAUUUUUUCUAUGAUCGCAAAACUCUGCUGACUUCUACUGCACACCACAUGCAUUUGGAAUUAUAUUUUAUUAACCUAUUUAUGGUAAUAUUUUUUGUUUUAUGUGCUGUGUGUGAAAUAUGUAUUGUGGGUGCACCAUGGUCCAGAGGAACAUUGUUUCAUUUGGUUGUACCGUAUACAUGUAUAGCCAGAUAGCAAUCAACCUGAAAUUGAACUUGAAGAGAGGCAAGGAAAAGUGAAAAGCUCAGCGGAUAGAGAAGAUGGCCGAGAUACCACAGAGGACUGUAUGUUCGCACCUUCUCAGUCCAGUGCUUUAAGCUGCAGGGGUUGCUGUCUCAGUAUGCAACCUCAGAGCGGCACCUGAAGAUCUCCAGCAUGCAGCUGACCACCAAGGCUCAAACCUCCAUUCUUUGGGGCUGGAAAGAUGUCAAGCACAGAAUUAUAAAAGACUUAAAAACAAGGAUCUAAUUCCUUUGUCAUGAAGGUCAACAAUUAGGAUUUCCCUCUGUUCUGAGGCUAUGCCCUCUGGUCUGAACUCGCUCAGUAUAGGAAACAUCCUCUCCACAUCUACUAUAUCUCGGCUUUUCAAGAUGCAAUAGGUUUCAUUGAUAUCCCUCCUCAUUCUUCUAA